rnacentral:rRNA from 1 species
UACGAAGGGGGCUAGCGUUAUUCAGAAUUACUGGGCGUAAAGCGCACGUAGGCGGAUCUUUAAGUCAGGGGUGAAAUCCCGCAGCUCAACUGCGGAACUGCCUUUGAUACUGGGGAUCUAGAGUCCGGAAGAGGUGAGUGGAACUCCUAGUGUAGAGGUGGAAUUCGUAGAUAUUAGGAAGAACACCAGUGGCGAAGGCGGCUCACUGGUCCGGUACUGACGCUGAGGUGCGAAAGCGUGGGGAGCAAACAGGAUUAGAUACCCCCGUAGUCCCUGA